rnacentral:rRNA from 1 species
AUGGGCGUCUCAUCUCCUCACCAGACGCUUCCACGCCUCACGAAGAUCCUCACCUUGUCGCUCUACGCCAUCCUCCCUCUCGCCCUCCUCUUCUACCUCUCCCCUUCUCCCAUCGCCGCCCCACCCUCCACUUCCACCUCGCCGCCCCACGGUGAGAGGCAGCAGGUGGUGAAGAUCGCUACAGGGGCGCCGCCAGGAACCCAGGGGUCGAAACCGGCGCCGCAGUGCGACUACUCGGAGGGGGAAUGGAUUCCGAACGCGGCGGGGCCGCGGUACACCGGGACGAGCUGCGGCGCGACGAUCAAGCACGAGCAGAACUGCAUCGUGAACGGCCGGCCGGACACGGGGUACCUGAACUGGCGGUGGCGGCCGCGCGGGUGCGCGCUCCCGCCGUUCGCGCCCGCUGAGUUCCUGGAGCUGGUGCGCGGCCGGCACGUCGCGUUCGUAGGCGACUCGCUCGCGCGGAACCAGUGCGAGUCGCUGGUGUGCCUCCUCGGGUCGGAGUACCCCGUCGAGCUGGUCCUUGACGGCGGCGAGGAGCGCAAGUUCCGGCGGUGGGCGUUCCGGUCGCACAACGCGACGGUGUCGGUGUUCUGGUCGCCGUUCCUGGUGAAGGGCACGGAGAAGUCGUGGGCGCCGGGUGGGCUUGGCUACAACAGGCUGUACUUCGACCAGCCCGACGAGCGGUGGGCGGCGGAGCUCCCGGGCAUCGACGUGGUGGUGCUCUCCUUCGGGCAGUGGUUCCUGCAGUCGGCGAUGUACUACGAGCGCGGUGCGGUGAUCGGGUGCCACCACUGCCCGGAGCCGAACCGCACGGAGACGGGCUUCUUCGGCGUUUUCCGCCUCGCCGUCAAGAACGCCCUCCGCGAUGUCAUCGCCCGCUCCAGCGCCGGCCGGGAGAAGCUGGCAGUGCUGACUACGUUCUCGCCGGCGCACUUCGACGGGGAGUGGGACAGCCCGGACGCGUGCGCGCGCACGGAGCCGUACGCUCCGGGAGAGAAGGAGAUGUCGUACAUGCACAAAGAGAUGUGGCGGACGGGCGCGGAGGAGGCCACCGCGGCUGCCGUCGAGGCCAGGUCGCGCGGGUCCGCGGUGACGGUGGAGGCUCUGCAGGUGACGAGGCUCGCGGAUAUGCGCCCGGACGCUCACCCCGGCCCGUACUUCCAUCCCUUCCCGUUCGCCGGCGCCGGCGGCGAGAAGAAGAGGGAGCGGGUGCCGAACGACUGCGUGCACUCGUGCCUCCCCGGCCCCAUCGACACGUGGAACGAGAUCCUGCUGCAGAUGGUAAAGAGAUGGAGAGGUGCCUCCUCCUCCAGAUGA